rnacentral:miRNA from 1 species
AAUGUUUCUUGCUUAAAUGAGUAUUCCACAGGCAGGCAGGCACGUACUGUCGAUUGGUAAUGACGAUGGUGAUCAUUCGGUGUCUUAAUACUGAGGAGCUGGUUGCUUCUGGAUACUCAUUUAUGCAAGAA